UCCUUGGUGGCUCAGAUGGUAAAGAAUCUGCCUGCAAUGCAGGAGACCUGGGUUCGAUCCCUGGAUUGGGAA
rnacentral:tRNA from 1 species